CUGCAAAAAGUUCUAUUUCCAACUCUUAGAAUAUAAAAAAUUUCCAGUCAUUGUAGAGGUUAACAAAUUCAUACCUUUGCAUUGUUUGUGCAGAGUAACAACAGGGACUUACAAAGCUUGUUUUGUGAUAUGAUAUGAACUUUUCUCCAUUCUAUUCAGUUCUCAUCCCACCCAAGCCCAUGUGCAGAUUUUCACAUGGAGACUACAGAAGGCAUCCAUUCCAUGUAGAUACUGACCAGGGAUAAUAUUGACUGGGCAGAUUUUAUAUAAAGCAAGAGCUAAAAUAUGCAACCAAAGAAUGUUUCCAGGCUGGCUUUACUUCUUUAGACAGAGAUUGUAUAGAUUUUUUAAACUCUCCCUCUUUAAGGCAUCAAAAUGGUCUUAAUAUUACAAUAGCCAGUCUAUAAAAGGAACUUGGCUUGUACUGGGAAUUUUUCCUUCUAGAAAUUCUUCCUAUCCAUCCUGCAGCUUCUUUAUAAAAUGAGAGAGCCCCUUCUUCUAGAAUGUGAAAUGUAGAAGACCUCAUGAUUUUCAGCCAAUUUUUCAAAAAUAAAAUGAACUGUUCAGCCUCUUAAAAAUUCAUAGGACCGUGGCUCUGUGUGUGUGAGCAUGAAUUUGUGAACAUUGGACUCAAUUUGGGCAGUUUUUAAAAUUUGACACUGAAUCCCAAGCCAUGUCCUUUGUGUCUUAUGUAGUCAUUCUUAAAAUUAAAUAAUUUCUGCUUCCUGAGUCAUCCUGGUCAUAUUGCUAGCAUUUUUUUUCUUGAAAUUAUUAAAAUGAUUCACACGUGUGCAUAUUUAAUUCACUACAUUAUUAUAAUCUUGGAUGGUAUUUAUUCUAAAUAUGGGAUUAAACAGAAUUUUAUAUGGAAAAUCUAUGUAAUUUAUAAUGGUUUUGUUUUAUAAAUUAUAUUUUCAUAUCUUUGGAACACAUCUGCUAUUCUCAUCUUUUUCUACAUCAUACUGGAUAAAAAAUACUAAUACUUGACUAAAAUCUUUAGGAACAAAAUGUAAUAUAUGUGAUGUAUGACAUAUAAAAACUGCUCUAAAAUUACCUGAAUGUUCUCAGCCAUCCUAAGCAUUACUUUGCCAUGUCAUUACAUCCAGAAUACCUUGGACGCUUAUGAGCAUUUCUGUUUCCACAAUUAAGGCUAAAAGGCCUGACAUCCCACACAAUGUAUUCAAGAAUCCAUUUCCCUUCUUUAUCUUUUUUUGUUUCAUUUUUAAUUGUACAAGUCUAUGCUGUCUAAACUUCCUUUUGAAGGGCAAUGUAAAAUAACGAGCAACUUGAUGAAAAGAGAGAAGUAAUUUAACUGUGGCUAUGUAAAUCAUUUUAACAGACUGAUAACAUGUUUUAAAUGUGCUUGGGUUGUUAUUCACUGUUGAUCUAGGAUCUGCUCAGCUCUAACAUAUGAAGAAAAUGUAAGGCACACAGAAUAUUUGUAUGUUUUUGAAGAAACACACUCUGCACAGUGUGGCCAAUGUAGAUCAGCUUGACUAUGUAAACACCAGUCCUAGCCACUAAAGAAGUAUUUUAGAAAGGCUAAUCAGUUUCCUUUCAUCAUGCCGUUUGAGUACAUGUUGUAUCAGUGCUAGAACUCUUAAACAGGAGUAACUGGUUCUGUUAACUAGGAAUUUCCUUCAAGUGUUUUCCUUUGGUAAGAAAUGAAGCAUUAACUUAUGUUUCACAUACUUCAUUUUCCACACAAUUCAACUAUUUUCCUUUACUUAUCUUCCCACAGUCUUUGUGCAGUUUUCUAAAGUAAUUCCUGUUUCCAUUCUUUAAGCUAAUUUACUGGUAUUCUUUAAUUAUCUACCAAACCUCGGUUGUAUUCACACAUACAUUUUUAGUACCUAUAAUCUUCAAGAUAUUGAUCAAUUUUACAUUCAUUAAAAUACCCUUCAAGUAGAUAACAAAGUUCAUUUUCCUAAUGACUUUUGUAUAGUUUCUUCAGUGGUUAACAGGUUUGGAUUAAACAAGUCAAUUGUGGAGAAAAUAAUCAAAUAGAUCAGAAUUGCUUAUUCUAUUUUCCAAAGGACUGUGUGUUUUUAUCUGUUAUACAGGGAAAUAUUAUGUAAGGAUAAUGCUCUUUAUGAGAUUUUUUUUAAGAGAUGGAAUUUAUAAAGGGGUUAUUACUAAGAAUACUACAAUCAAAAUCAAAGCUAGAGAAUGUAAAAAUAGAAAGUAAUUCUAAGAAUAUUCUGCAUAAAUUAUUUUUAUUUAACCAAUAAUAAAAAUCUCCAGAUGUAUCUUUCUGACAUCAUAGACCCGCUAACAGUGAGUUAGGAUCAAAGAUGUAUGUACUUAUGUUUGGCCUGCUGUAUUUCAGUAGUUCUGAAUGUCCUUUGUUAAAUUGCAAAAGAUGAAAAUGUAUCUGGACUGAAAUGUCAAUCUGCUGAUUUUGUGAACUAUAAAAUGUUCACUUUCUAAAAAUAAAGAUGUAAACGAAUGACUAAUAUAUAAGUUGAUAUUACUGUAGCAAAACAAAACAUGUGAUCCAUCCUGUAUUUUGACUGUUGCUUUAAUAAAGGGUUUGCACAAG
ensembl:lncRNA